rnacentral:tRNA from 1 species
AUAGUGAUAGCUCAGCAGGAUAGAGCGCCUGACUGCUAAUCGGGAGGUCGCGGGUUCGAAUCCCGCUCACUCCCCGA